rnacentral:rRNA from 1 species
AGUGAACGCUGGCGGUAGGCCUAACACAUGCAAGUCGAACGGCAGCACAGUAAGAGCUUGCUCUUACGGGUGGCGAGUGGCGGACGGGUGAGGAAUACAUCGGCAUCUACUUUUUCGUGGGGGAUAACGUAGGGAAACUUCCGCUAAUACCGCAUACUAUCUACGGGUGAAAGCAGGGGAUCUUCGGACUUUGCCCGAUUCAAUUAGCCGAUGUCGGAUUAGCUAGUUGGCGGGGUAAAGGCCCACCAAGGCGACGAUCCGUAGCUGGUCUGAGAGGAUGAUCAGCCACACUGGAACUGAGACACGGUCCAGACUCCUACGGGAGGCAGCAGUGGGGAAUAUUGGACAAUGGGCGCAAGCCUGAUCCAGCCAUGCCGCGUGGGUGAAGAAGGCCUUCGGGUUGUAAAGCCCUUUUGUUGGGAAAGAAAAGCAGCAGGUUAAUACCCCGCUAUUCUGACGGUACCCAAAGAAUAAGCACCGGCUAACUUCGUG